CAAAGAAAUCCCGGGGCCGUUCCACGCUUGGGUCCCGGACACCCGCCCCUCGCGCGCUGUCCGCGCGUCCCUUAGUCCCGCGGUGACUUUUGGUCUGGGGUCUUCUACCGUCGUCUCGGAUUCUUCUUCUGUAUAGCUGUGGGCGGUGCGUUAUUCCACAGGUGCUGCUGCGCCGAUGCUCCGUACGUUCGCAGUAACGGGUAGAGCGGAAGGCUCCGUGGCCAGGGAAGAGCGGCACGGACGCGUUCCUGCUCGCUCCGUUGCACCGGAAUUUUGACGGCUGGGUUCGGCCGCUAAAUUGAUGGCGCUACCGGAAGAAAUUUCAGAGAAAAAGGGUGGCUUUUUCGUCGAUCUCUUUGUGAGAGUAUCAAAUCAGGCGGCGGUAAAUACGUAGAAGCAACUAGGCGUACUACGGCGUGUACCGGACAGCGUUGGCGUGCCGCUCUGCUAGCAGCGGAGAGCCAGAUGAGGAUGCCCGUGAUAUGAGAAAAGCUCUGUCCAGAGAUAUGGAGACGAAAUCAGUUGUACCUCACCCUGUGACACCGGAAGACAUUG